CCCUUAGAUGUUCUGGGCUGCACGCGCGCUACACUGAAGCUAUCAACACGUUUUCCCUCCCUGAGAAGGGCGGGUAACCUUUUGAAUCAGCUUCGUGGUAGGGAUCGGGGCUUGCAAUUGUUUCCCGUGAACCAGGAAUUCCUAGUAGACGCGAGUCAUAAGCUCGCAUCGAUUAAGUCCCUGCCCUUUGUACACACCGCCCGUCGCUACUACCGAUUGAACGUUUUAGUGAGGCAUUUGGACCGACGCAUCUCAGUUUAACCGCUGGUUUGUGUUGGAAAGACUUCCAAACUUGAGCGUUUAGAGGAAGUAAAAGUCGUAACA
rnacentral:rRNA from 1 species